GACGAACGCUGGCGGCGUGCUUAACACAUGCAAGUCGAACGAUGAAGUUCCUUCGGGAAUGGAUUAGUGGCGAACGGGUGAGAAACACGUGAGAAACCUGCCUUUCAUUUUGGGAUAACUCCGGGAAACCGGAGCUAACACCGAAUACUCCGUCUCGGCGGCAUCGCUGAGCCGGGAAAAAAUUUUGAUGAAAGAUGGUCUCGCGGCCUAUCAGCUAGUUGGUGAGGUAAUGGCUCACCAAGGCGACGACGGGUAGCCGGCCUGAGAGGGCGACGGGCCACACUGGGACUGAGACACGGCCCAGACUCCUACGGGAGGCAGCAGUGGGGAAUAUUGGGCAAUGGGCGCAAGCCUGACCCAGCGACGCCGCGUGAGGGAUGAAGGCCUUCGGGUUGUAAACCUCUUUCAGUAGGGAAGAAGCGAAAGUGACGGUACCUAAAGAAGAAGCACCGGCUAACUAUGUGCCAGCAGCCGCCGUAA
rnacentral:rRNA from 1 species